GCAGAAGUAGCUUGGUUCCUGUGUUUCUGUGGCUGGCAGCUGCAGUUCCAAUUCAACCCCUAGCCUAGGAACUUGUAAAUGGCAUGGGUGCAGCUUUAAAAAAAAAAAGAAAGAAAAAAAAAAAGAAAUGUGGAUGAUGGCCCAUUUAUACCCUGGGCCUUUUGUGAUGGCCAGAUGAGGUGAAUGAAAUUUAAAAACUUUCUUUUUCUUAAAUUUCUGAAUCAGUAGACUUACGUUUUUUUAAUUUUAUUUUAUUAAUUGUGCUCUCACAAUUACUAGGGGUGUUCAAUCUUAUUUAUAUGACAAAAUACAAUCUUAACUGGUGUUGUUCACUGCUCCGUACUGCUUCAGAAUGAGGAGGUUGUAUAUUAACUAUUUGCCAGAGUAAUACAUGGAAAUUUCAAUUUUGUCAAAAAAUUUUAAACUCUUGUUGAUAACAACAAUUAAAAUCCAAUCAACGAAAAAUAGUUCAUCAUGGCACACCUGUGAAAAAUGGUCCUUAAUUGAAGAGUAAAUGUGUUAAUAUUGGGAAAGGAAUUAACAAAAUUUAGUUUUCAUGAUUAAAAAAUUGCCUUUACUUAUUUGCCUAUUUAUUUUGUUGCCAUAGUUCUCAAAGCUUCCAGGAGCUUAACUCUGCUUCCAUUACACUCCCUUGGUUUUUCUUCUGACACACACUCACUUUUUCCUAGAUUUAAAAUGAGUAAUUGUAGUUCCCGUUGUGGCUCAGUAGUAACGAAACUGACUAGGUAUGAGGUUGGGGUUGGAUCCCUGGCCUUGCUCAGUGUGUUAAGGAUCCAGCGUUGUCAAGAGCUGUGGUGUAGGUCACAAACAUGGCUCAGAUCCUGCAUGGCUGUGGCUGUGGCUGGCAGCUGCAGGUCUGAUUCAACCCCUAGCCUUGGAAGGUCACAAACCUUCAUGUGCUGCAAGCACGGCCCUAAAAAAAUUAAUAGAGUAAUAAACAGUCAUACAAAUGUGUGAAUAAUCCUUUACCAUUUGUAAUAAUUGGUUUGUUAGGGCUGCACCUGUGGUAUAGGGAGAUUCCCAGGCUAUGGGUCAAAUUGGAGCUACAGCUGCCGACCUACACCACAGCCACCCCAACAUCAGAUCAGAUCCAAGCCACAUCUGCAACCUACACCACAGCUCACAGCAACGCUGGAUCCUCAACCCACUGAGUAAGGCCAGGGAUCGAACUUGCAACCUCAUGGUUCGUAGUUGGAUUCGUUUCCACUGUGCCAUGGUGAUAUCUCCUGUAAUGAUUUUUUUUUUUAACAUCCUUCACUAUUUGCCCAUUACAGCUUUCUUGUGAGAUUAGUCAUGUUAUUUUACAUGAAAUGAACAGGGAAACUGAGAUGUAUUAAAAUACAGGAGUAGACUCUCAAAUUCAAGUUUCUAAAUCAGUGCUAUUUUUCCUGCUUAUCAAAAUUGCACAGUCUUAAAACAUAAGAAAAUUUGUUGUUUAAAUCAUCUAGUGCCCAUCUUCCAUCUAUACUUAUUUCUUCCAGGUUUGUAGCCCAGCUUGGUUUUGAAAAAGGAAAAUAUCUUAUUAUCUUCACAAAGAACUGUAUUUCUUGGAAAUCAGAAAGCCUGUCCUGUUGCAUUUAUGUCUGUCCAGAAUCUCACUGACUGCCAUUUAUAACUGAUUAGAGACCUGGGAUUUUUCCUGGUUACACCUCAGUGACUACUGCUUUAUAGCUUAGCUGCGUUAACACCUUCAAAAUCUGUUUAUGUGCAAAACCAUCAAAUACAGUUGCCUUCUGAAUGAAUUACUCUUUUGACUUUGUUUUGGUCAGUUUGCAAAUGCCUUUCUAGAACUGUAAUCUCUCUAUAAUUUAUGUGUGAAAAGAUUAUAUCUUAUUUUGUAUGCUAGGAUUUCUUUAAAAUUAUUUAUUAUUCAUGUUACAUUUUACACUGGCGCUGGUCUAUGCAGAUUUUAAAUGUGUUUGUCAUAUACCAUUAGUCACUGUGUGAAAUCUCUCAGUAAUAGUUACCCCUUGAAUUUUCUGCUGCUAAGGAGAAUUUAACACUGAUUGAUGGCAGAUCACUUAGCUGGUUGGCAGGCUUUCCAAUUUACGGUAAGGAAAUUGCUCUUUUCUUUUUGUUCAUUCCUCUGCUGCUUGUGCCGAGCAGUAAGACAUAUGUGCCAGACUGUAUGCAAGAAGCAGCUCUGGAUUGGCAAUACUGUGUGUCUCUUUUACAAUUAUGAUUUUAUCAGUUUCCCAAACUGUACAGGGAAUGUCAAAUAUCUGCAAUGACAGUCUUCCAUUAUUGCAGGCAGCUUAUUUAUGUCACUUGUGCUCUAGCUUCUCAUCUGCACCGCAUAACCUACCCUCUCAUUCAUGAUAAAGUGUCCUAGAGCCCAAAAGAAAGAAGUUUGUGUUUCGUUCAGAACCCCCAGGUUUUUGGCUCAUGGGCUGCUGACCAGCUCUAUCAUCUUUUUUUUCCUCCUCUAGGCAUGCUCAGGAGAGUUCAUCAGGUUGUGUUAGAUAUAUUAGUUAGAUAUUGGCCUCAAGUAACAGAAAACUCAACCUAGCUUAUCUUAAACAGUGAAUUAUUCUUUUUCAAAGAACAAGAAAUCCCCAAAGUGCGUGGUUUCUAUCACUGGUUCAGUGGCUCACAAAUGUCUUCAGUGACACCAGCUUUUCUUGUCUUUCUAUGCCAUUGGGUAUAAACAUUGGCCAUGACUUUCAGGUGACUGAAGUCUCUGGGUGGGCCAGAUUCUUAGCACUGUUGCUCAUUGUUAAAAGCAAGUAACAUGUGAUCAUUGUGUGAAUGGGAUUCAGAAUUGCCCUUUACCAAUAGAGGUCUCAAUGAUUUGACUUAGUGUUGCAAUUCAGAAACCUAAAAAUUGUACUUUGUAUUAAACAUUCAUUCACUGAACAAGUAUUUUAUGAAUGCUAAAUAUAUGAUCAGAAUUUGGUACCAGGAAUAAACCAGUGAAUUAACCAUAUGAAAAUCUUUGUCCUCAGGUAUCAUACAUUUUCUAUCCAAUUUAAUUAUCUCAUUGAAAUAAUUGCUUCAUCAUAAACACAUUAAAUAAAUGCUGCCUUCUCUAUGCAGUUUUCUUAAUACUUUACCUAUAAUGCCUCAUUUAGUGGAAUGCUGGCAUAGACUUUGUACCAGCUUGCAGGAGUCGAUUGUAAAAUUCUCAGGAAUUUUGCAAGACAGUUAUUAAAUGUGACCAUGACUUAAAAAUAACUAUAUAAACUCAUUUAUUAAAUUAUAAGAAAACCCAAUGUAAUAGAUAAUAACAAUUAUUACUUCAUAAUAGUUUUACUAUAAUCCGUAUUCUGGCUUUAUUUAUGAUGAUUAUAUGACAAUGGUAGAAAUACCAUGGAAGGAUAUGUUACAAGCUGCUUCCCAACUCCAUGUACAGUGACAAAGCAUUAAAAUCUGACACAGUGGGAAAUAAACACCAUGACAAUCAGCAAAUAUAUGUCUAUGAUACUUAGGUUUCCUGGGGAACCAGUUGUUAAACAUUUACCAUCAUACCAUAGGUCCCAUCCAACUGAGAAUAUCUUCUUCUGUUAACUUUUACGGCAUUUAUUUUUGGUACAACCUACUCAUUAAUUCUUUGAACCAACAUUUGCUCAGCAUGUGUUGAAUGUUAGGCAGUGGAUAAGAAGAUGAAGAUUCAGAAGUGAGGACAAAAUUGUCUUUGUUUUGAAAUCAUAGAGAGUCUAAGAAGAGUCGGACAAAAGAACAAACAAUGGACAUCAUAAUAGCUGCACUAGAGAAGAGGAGAUAAAACAAUGGCAAUAAUUAAUAGUAGGUGAGUCAGAGACCUUGGGACUUGAAGACAAAGAUAUUGUCCAGGCAGAAAAGGCAAGAAGGGCGCCCUUCUACAAAGAGGAAGAUGCUUAUAAAAGGUUGGAGGUUUUAAAUAGCUGGGUGAGUCUGCAUGCUAAUUUCUCAGUUUGGCUAAAGACAUUUGCAGGGGAAUGGUAGCAAGCCAAGGGAGGAGAGCUGCUCAAGGACCAGGUCACAGAAAACCAUGUUUUUAUUGUCUUGCAUUCCCCAAGAGAUACCACAAUGUUUGGAAUGUAAACAUUACUCAAUAUAUAUUCACUGAAUAAGUGCCUUUUACGACAAUGGGGAACUUUGAAUCAUUGUUCUUUGAGUUUCAAGUAUUUGCCUUAUGCAGCUAUUCUACCUUUACAGACAGGGGUGGAUUUCUUGAUAGCAGAGCCCCAUGUAUUAAGAUCUUAACUAACAACGAUUUCUUAAACCUGUCUGGUCUUCUUAGAAUUUUAACUUCCAUCCAUCCAACCUUCCUUUUUUAUGAAUUAUUGUUUGACAACUUUUGGAGGUAUAAUUUAUGUACAAAAUCACACACAUUUAAUGUAUACAAUUUCAUGAGUGCAAACAGAUGCACACACCUGUGAAGCUAUCUCCACAAUCAAGAUAAUAAAUACAUCAUCAUCUCUAAAAGGUCAUUUGAAACGCUUUUAUUUUGGUGGUAAUAAAACUUAACAUGUAAUGUACUUAAGAAAUGUAAAUGCACGAAACAUAAUUAUUAAUGACAGGAACUGUGCUAUACAGCAGAUCUCUGCAAGUCAUGACUAUUGCAUAAGGUAAAACUUUAUACCUAUUUAACAAUUAUUCUCCAUUUUUCUCUCCCCCCCAGCUAUUGGCAGUCUCAAUUUUGUUCUUUGCUUCCAUGAGUUUGACUAUUUUAGAUGCCUCAUAAAUGUGGAAUAAUGCAAAGUUUUCCUUCUGUGAUUGGCUUACUUCACUUAACAGGUCAUCUAUAUUGUUCUCCAUGGCGGGGUUUCCUUCUUUAAGGUGAAAUGGUAUUCCAUUGUAUGUACAGACAAAAUUUUCUUUAUCCACUAAUUUUUUUUUUUUUUUUUUUUUUUUUUUUGUAUUUUUAGGGCUGCACCGACAGUGUAUGGAGGUUCCCAAGCUAGAGGGGUUGAAUCGGAGCUGGAGCCACCAGCCUAUGCCAGAGCCACAGCAACGCGGGAUCUGAGCCGCGUCUGCAACCUACACCACAGCUCACAGCAACGCCGGAUCCUUAACCCACUGAGCAAAGGCAGGGACCGAACCCGCAACCUCAUGGUUCCUAGUCGGAUUCGUUAACCACUGCGCCACGAUGGGAACUCCCCAUCUGCCCAUUUUUAAAUCAAGUUUUUUUUUUUGCUAUUGACUUGUGUGAGUCAUUUACAUAUUUUGGAUAAAUCAACUUACCAGAUACAUGAUUUGCAAAUAUCUUCUCCCAUUUGAUAGAUUGCCUUUUCAUUUUGCCUUUUUAGUGCUGAAGCUUUUUAGAUUGUUAGAGUCCCACUUGUUGGUUUUGGCUUUUGGUGUCAAAACCAAAAAAAAAAAAAAAAAAAAAAAAAA
rnacentral:lncRNA from 1 species